CCUACGGGAGGCAGCAGUGGGGAAUAUUGCACAAUGGGGGAAACCCUGAUGCAGCGACGCCGCGUGAGGGAAGAAGGUUUUCGGAUUGUAAACCUCUGUCUUUGGUGACGAAAGAUGACGGUAGCCAAAGAGGAAGCUACGGCUAACUACGUGCCAGCAGCCGCGGUAAUACGUAGGUGGCAAGCGUUGUCCGGAAUUACUGGGUGUAAAGGGAGCGUAGGCGGGAAGACAAGUUGAAUGUUUAAACUAUCGGCUCAACCGAUAAUCGCGUUCAAAACUGUUUUUCUUGAGUGAAGUAGAGGCAGGCGGAAUUCCUAGUGUAGCGGUGAAAUGCGUAGAUAUUAGGAGGAACACCAGUGGCGAAGGCGGCCUGCUGGGCUUUAACUGACGCUGAGGCUCGAAAGCGUGGGUAGCAAACAGGAUUAGAUACC
rnacentral:rRNA from 1 species